ensembl:lncRNA
CUUAAGACUAGUUUCGUGGCUAGGAGUCGUCAUUGCCUUCUUGCUUGGGGUACUACUUUCAGCACUUCUUUGCGGUUUGACCACAAAAUGCCACAGAAAAAUACGCAAGAUCUCUAGAAACCUGGAUGAGACUCUGGAGAUGGGGACCAGUCCAGAGGAUCCACUGAUAGAUGCUGGUCAAGCAGUCGAAGAUGAUCAGACCUACUACCAAGAGUUUGCUGAUGGAGAAGGAGGAGCUGCAGCAGCAGAACAAGCAGCCCCUGAUCUCAAUGGUGGACCUAACGACGUGCAGUACGCCAGCAUUGAUUUCUCCGUUUUGAGAAGAAAGAAUCCCAAGGAGGCAGAAAAGAAGCAAGAAACCACAGAGACGGAGUAUGCUGAAAUUAAGAGAGAAGUCAAAGAGGAAACAGAACACAAUGGCGGAGAGGAAGGUGAUGUGUUGGAGAGGGCGAUGCUCGGGGAGGAUGAAGGGACAAAACAUUGUGUUCCUGGAGAGGACGACAGGGAGGACGCCGCGGUGUACUCCAACGUGAAGGAUAUUAUGUCUGAGAUUUGAGGACUGUUGUAUUGUAGAUAAUGUUUCUUUACCAUCAUCAGUUGUGAUGGAUUGGUUAUUCCAGUGAAUUAACGGUUUCUAACAGCUGUGGUCUUCAAACGCUACAUUCAGCCUGUGGUGAACUGAAGUGACAGACGCUUCAACCUCUGCUUGUUGAGGUGUGUGCAAAUCCAUUCAAUCAUCUGAGGACUAAAUUGGACAAAGUGUCCAUAUUCAAGUGCUAAUGUGUUGACUUUUCAUAUGAAUCCCAGAUUAGUUUACACAUAACCAUGAAGAAGUUGACUCCUCUGGAGUAUAAAGGGCCAACCACCUAUGGAUUACCAUUAAGCGUUAUUCGUGUUCGCCAGGGGAUGUAUCCCAAGGACCUUGUGCAUUCUGUGACUUCCUCUGGCUCCACCAUCAGGUUGGCGUGUGGUUUUUGAACGAGCUGACUAAACAACUAUUGGAUGGAUUGCCAUGAAAUUUUGCAGAGACACAAAUGUCCACCUCAGGAUUAUUAACUUUGGUUAUCCCUGAAUGUUUUAAAACUAGUACCAUCAUCUGGUGAAAAAUUCACUUAAAAAAAAUUACCACAAUACCGGCAAAACAAAAUACCUGCUAAAACUAAGAUGAUGAAUAUGUUAAACAUUUUACCUGCUUAACAGCCAUCUUAGCAUUGUAUUGUACAUAAGUUAGCAAGCUCACGUUAGCAUUUAGCUUAAAAUGCCUUUGCACUUGACAGAGCCGCUAGCAGAGGAUCUUAAUCUUGUUCCAUUUAAAGUUUCUCAAAGAAACUCAAAGGACAGGAUGACAUUUUGUCAAGUCCGUUUCAUUUUAUACUUUAAAGAAGAACCUUUGUAGAUAACCAGUGGAGCUGUCUAACUCAGACUGCUGAAGCUUCAUAUUAGCUUCAGCUGAACUUAAUGACGCAUGUUUUCACAGACUGCAGAUUUUGUUUACAUCUAUUGAACUGGAAUUUAAUUUGGAUGGGAUUCUUGAGGGCAUCUAUUGUAGAAAUGUUUGUUUAUAUGCAUGUUAGUAUUGUUUCAAGAAAGUUUAAAAAAGGACUCCUUUUAAACUAGUGUGGAUUUUUAUGGAUUAAUUUAAUAUAAAAUAUGAACAGUUGUUGAACUACAAAUUGCAGAUUAGUAUGCCGUUCUUUUUUUUAGCUUUUUGGAUUGAUCUGCUUUUUCAAACUGAUAACAUGUUUGGCCCAAUGUGUCUCUACAACCCUGUUAAUGUUCUUUUAGGAAGAUGUAGAUUACGUCCCCUUUUAAUAAUUUAAAAAGAAAACGUUGUUUGGGAUGUUUUCAGUUAUUACGAAAACCUUUUUCCUACAUUCUGUAUUAUUGACAGGAUAUGUAGGAGUGUUCAAUAUGCAGGCUGAUAAGGACAAAUGUGGAACCAUUUAGCAGCUAAAUAUAGUUAUAGUUAUAAUCAACCAUCUCAAAUUGUUAACAGGAAGUUAUUAGAAAGAAUACAGUGAUGCCAUGUAAGACAAUGUUUAAAUACAUAAUCACUUGAG